rnacentral:rRNA from 1 species
GUGACUGCGUACCUUUUGUAUAAUGGGUCAGCGACUUAUAUUCUGUAGCAAGGUUAACCGAAUAGGGGAGCCGGAGGGAAACCGAGUCUUAAUUGGGCGUUAAGUUGCAGGGUAUAGACCCGAAACCCGGUGAUCUAGCCAUGGGCAGGUUGAAGGUUGGGUAACACUAACUGGAGGACCGAACCGACUAAUGUUGAAAAAUUAGCGGAUGACCUGUGGCUGGGGGUGAAAGGCCAAUCAAACCGGGAGAUAGCUGGUUCUCCCCGAAAGCUAUUUAGGUAGCGCCUCGUGAAUUCAUCUCCGGGGGUAGAGCACUGUUUCGGCUAGGGGGCCAUCCCGGCUUACCAACCCGAUGCAAACUGCGAAUACCGGAGAAUGUUAUCACGGGAGACACACGGCGGGUGCUAACGUCCGUCGUGAAGAGGGAAACAACCCAGACCGCCAGCUAAGGUCCCAAAGUCAUGGUUAAGUGGGAAACGAUGUGGGAAGGCCCAGACAGCCAGGAUGUUGGCUUAGAAGCAGCCAUCAUUUAAAGAAAGCGUAAUAGCUCACUGGUCGAGUCGGCCUGCGCGGAAGAUGUAACGGGGCUAAACCAUGCACCGAAGCUGCGGCAGCGACGCUGAUGCGUUGUUGGGUAGGGGAGCGUUCUGUAAGCCUGUGAAGGUGUGUCGUGAGGCAUGCUGGAGGUAUCAGAAGUGCGAAUGCUGACAUAAGUAACGAUAAAGCGGGUGAAAAGCCCGCUCGCCGGAAGACCAAGGGUUCCUGUCCAACGUUAAUCGGGGCAGGGUGAGUCGACCCCUAAGGCGAGGCCGAAAGGCGUAGUCGAUGGGAAACGGGUUAAUAUUCCCGUACUUGGUGUUACUGCGAAGGGGGGACGGAGAAGGCUAUGUUGGCCGGGCGACGGUUGUCCCGGUUUAAGCGUGUAGGUGUGUGUUCCAGGUAAAUCCGGUUCACUUUAACACUGAGGCGUGACGACGAGGCACUACGGUGCUGAAGCAACAAAUGCCCUGCUUCCAGGAAAAGCCUCUAAGCAUCAGGUAACAUCAAAUCGUACCCCAAACCGACACAGGUGGUCAGGUAGAGAAUACCAAGGCGCUUGAGAGAACUCGGGUGAAGGAACUAGGCAAAAUGGUGCCGUAACUUCGGGAGAAGGCACGCUGACAUGUAGGUGAAGUGAUUUACUCACGGAGCUGAAGUCAGUCGAAGAUACCAGCUGGCUGCAACUGUUUAUUAAAAACACAGCACUGUGCAAACACGAAAGUGGACGUAUACGGUGUGACGCCUGCCCGGUGCCGGAAGGUUAAUUGAUGGGGUCAGCGCAAGCGAAGCUCCUGAUCGAAGCCCCGGUAAACGGCGGCCGUAACUAUAACGGUCCUAAGGUAGCGAAAUUCCUUGUCGGGUAAGUUCCGACCUGCACGAAUGGCGUAAUGAUGGCCAGGCUGUCUCCACCCGAGACUCAGUGAAAUUGAACUCGCUGUGAAGAUGCAGUGUACCCGCGGCAAGACGGAAAGACCCCGUGAACCUUUACUAUAGCUUGACACUGAACAUUGAGCCUUGAUGUGUAGGAUAGGUGGGAGGCUUUGAAGUGUGGACGCCAGUCUGCAUGGAGCCGACCUUGAAAUACCACCCUUUAAUGUUUGAUGUUCUAACGUGGACCCGUAAUCCGGGUUGCGGACAGUGUCUGGUGGGUAGUUUGACUGGGGCGGUCUCCUCCUAAAGAGUAACGGAGGAGCACGAAGGUUGGCUAAUCCUGGUCGGACAUCAGGAGGUUAGUGCAAUGGCAUAAGCCAGCUUGACUGCGAGCGUGACGGCGCGAGCAGGUGCGAAAGCAGGUCAUAGUGAUCCGGUGGUUCUGAAUGGAAGGGCCAUCGCUCAACGGAUAAAAGGUACUCCGGGGAUAACAGGCUGAUACCGCCCAAGAGUUCAUAUCGACGGCGGUGUUUGGCACCUCGAUGUCGGCUCAUCACAUCCUGGGGCUGAAGUAGGUCCCAAGGGUAUGGCUGUUCGCCAUUUAAAGUGGUACGCGAGCUGGGUUUAGAACGUCGUGAGACAGUUCGGUCCCUAUCUGCCGUGGGCGCUGGAGAACUGAGGGGGGCUGCUCCUAGUACGAGAGGACCGGAGUGGACGCAUCACUGGUGUUCGGGUUGUCAUGCCAAUGGCACUGCCCGGUAGCUAAAUGCGGAAGAGAUAAGUGCUGAAAGCAUCUAAGCACGAAACUUGCCC